rnacentral:lncRNA from 1 species
AGAUUGAAACAAAUAAGCUUGAAAUGUUUUAAAGCUACUACACAAUGUCUUCUUCCAAUAUACUCCACUUUCAUACAUUUUGAAUGUAUGAAAUGAUUUCUCAUUAAAGUCAUGAGAAAUAGUGGGAGGUGUGAAAAUGGAUAUAAACUUGAAUAUGAUUGGUUUAUAGUUGUCUAAAGAAUAAUAGUAUUUGACUAUUAUUAAGAGUUUGCAAUUUUAAUUGUUAAAAGGACUCAAGCUCUUCAAACGUUAAAAUUCUAUGUUGUGUGACAUUCUAAAGAAUAGUCUUUGAAUGUUGGUU